rnacentral:rRNA from 1 species
CUAAUUCGCCAAAAUUUCCUACAUCCUGACGCAGAGGCAAUCUUGAAUAUUCUCCUCAAUUCUGUGGGAGGGGAAGAUAUCUUGGCAUGGGACUUGGAAAAGUCAGGAAACUACUCUGUAAAGUCAGCGUAUCGAUCUCUUAUGACUCGCAACGAGCAUAGCUCCAUAGAGGAAGGGACGAUAACGGAAUCUUCAUCGGCAAACAGAGAGUUGUGGACUGCACUUUGGAAGAUCCAUGUGCUACCGAAGGUUCGAGUGUUCGGUGGCGAGUUCUCAGAGGCAUUUUACCAGACUCGGUGACCUUGCAGUACAGGCAUAUCAAAACCAGCGGCCGGUGUGACAUUUGUAUGGCCAUGGAUGAGAAUCUGCUGCAUGCGCUUGUUUCAUGCACUCAUGCACGGAAAUUUUGGGCAACAGCUAAGGACCGUUUCGGCUUCCGACUACCACAGCUGCACCCCGAUACUUGGGCUCGUGAUAUUCUGUUGGAUAGCUUAUUCUCUGAUGAUACACGGUGCAAAAUCAUCUCCAUCAUGCACUCUAUUUGGACUUCAAGGAAUAACUGGACUCACGGCCGCGACGGGUAUGACCCGGCCACGGCGCUGA